rnacentral:tRNA from 1 species
GGAUAGUUCAGUUGGUAAGAGCAUGAGACUCUUCAUCUCAAGGUUGUGGGUUCGAGUCCCACGUUGGGCA